UGCGAUGAUGAUGAGAAAUAUAAUCUCGUUAAUCUGAUUUUAACAUGAGGACAAACCUUCUCAUCCAUUCAUACUCAUUCUGAGC